rnacentral:rRNA from 1 species
GACGAACGCUGGCGGCGUGCUUAACACAUGCAAGUGGAGCGACGAACCAGGCUUCGGCCUGGGGCAAAGCCGCGAACGGGUGAGUAACACGUGGGUAACCUGCCCCGAUGACCGGGACAACCCGAGGAAACUCGGGCUAAUACCGGAUGUGGUCCCUUCACAUCAGUGAAGGUGACUAAAGGUAGCUUCGGCCUCCGCAUCGGGAUGGGCCCGCGGCCCAUUAGCUUGUUGGUGGGGUAAUGGCCUACCAAGGCUUCGAUGGGUAGCUGGUCUGAGAGGACGAUCAGCCACACUGGGACUGAGACACGGCCCAGACUCCUACGGGAGGCAGCAGUGGGGAAUCUUGCGCAAUGCGCGAAAGCGUGACGCAGCAACGCCGCGUGUGGGAAGACGG